AUGCCUUCUCCUGGGUUGCAGCAAACCCAGAUUCCAACAAAUAGAAAAACGGUUCUUUGUCUUGAUGAUUUGGCAAAGCGGGAGGAAAAGAUCGUUGUGCUCCUUUUUAUUUUUCUAAUGAAUGAAAGGCUACUCCCACAAGACAAGCGAUCUCAAAGUGCUCCAGUUGUGCCUCUUGGUGGAUGCAUUCCUUGGAGACCAGCAAAGCAACUCGGUGCUUUUCCAAAAGAAUCACCCUUCCCUUUUAUUUUUCUUUGUUAUUGUGGAACACUAUCAUUUCGAGCUUUGCCAUUCUGCUUUGUUAUAUGUAAUGAUGAAUUUGUAAUGUGUGAGAUACUUUAG
rnacentral:rRNA from 1 species